rnacentral:tRNA from 1 species
AAAAGCAUACUUUAACUUAGAAGGUUUGAUUUGCACUCAAAAAGUAUUUUUUUAUUUGCUUUUA